rnacentral:rRNA from 1 species
UCAGUCAGUAUGCCCCGAAACCCUCGGGCCACACGCGGGCUGCAAUGGUAAGGACAAUGAGUUCCUAUUCCGAAAGGAGGAGGUAAUCUCCAAACCUUACCUCAGUUAUGAUUGAGGGCUGCAACUCGCCCUCAUGAAUAUGGAAUCCCUAGUAACCGCGUGUCACAAUCGCGCGGUGAAUACGUCCCUGCUCCUUGCACAACCUCCAACCCGUCCCUGC